rnacentral:rRNA from 1 species
UUAAAUUGAAGAGUUUGAUCAUGGCUCAGAUUGAACGCUGGCGGCAGGCCUAACACAUGCAAGUCGAGCGGUAGCACAGAGAGCUUGCUCUCGGGUGACGAGCGGCGGACGGGUGAGUAAUGUCUGGGAAACUGCCUGAUGGAGGGGGAUAACUACUGGAAACGGUAGCUAAUACCGCAUAACGUCGCAAGACCAAAGUGGGGGACCUUCGGGCCUCAUGCCAUCAGAUGUGCCCAGAUGGGAUUAGCUAGUAGGUGGGGUAACGGCUCACCUAGGCGACGAUCCCUAGCUGGUCUGAGAGGAUGACCAGCCACACUGGAACUGAGACACGGUCCAGACUCCUACGGGAGGCAGCAGUGGGGAAUAUUGCACAAUGGGCGCAAGCCUGAUGCAGCCAUGCCGCGUGUGUGAAGAAGGCCUUCGGGUUGUAAAGCACUUUCAGCGGGGAGGAAGGCGAUAAGGUUAAUAACCUUGUCGAUUGACGUUACCCGCAGAAGAAGCACCGGCUAACUCCGUGCCAGCAGCCGCGGUAAUACGGAGGGUGCAAGCGUUAAUCGGAAUUACUGGGCGUAAAGCGCACGCAGGCGGUCUGUCAAGUCGGAUGUGAAAUCCCCGGGCUCAACCUGGGAACUGCAUUCGAAACUGGCAGGCUAGAGUCUUGUAGAGGGGGGUAGAAUUCCAGGUGUAGCGGUGAAAUGCGUAGAGAUCUGGAGGAAUACCGGUGGCGAAGGCGGCCCCCUGGACAAAGACUGACGCUCAGGUGCGAAAGCGUGGGGAGCAAACAGGAUUAGAUACCCUGGUAGUCCACGCCGUAAACGAUGUCGAUUUGGAGGUUGUGCCCUUGAGGCGUGGCUUCCGGAGCUAACGCGUUAAAUCGACCGCCUGGGGAGUACGGCCGCAAGGUUAAAACUCAAAUGAAUUGACGGGGGCCCGCACAAGCGGUGGAGCAUGUGGUUUAAUUCGAUGCAACGCGAAGAACCUUACCUGGUCUUGACAUCCACAGAACUUUCCAGAGAUGGAUUGGUGCCUUCGGGAACUGUGAGACAGGUGCUGCAUGGCUGUCGUCAGCUCGUGUUGUGAAAUGUUGGGUUAAGUCCCGCAACGAGCGCAACCCUUAUCCUUUGUUGCCAGCGGUCCGGCCGGGAACUCAAAGGAGACUGCCAGUGAUAAACUGGAGGAAGGUGGGGAUGACGUCAAGUCAUCAUGGCCCUUACGACCAGGGCUACACACGUGCUACAAUGGCAUAUACAAAGAGAAGCGACCUCGCGAGAGCAAGCGGACCUCAUAAAGUAUGUCGUAGUCCGGAUUGGAGUCUGCAACUCGACUCCAUGAAGUCGGAAUCGCUAGUAAUCGUAGAUCAGAAUGCUACGGUGAAUACGUUCCCGGGCCUUGUACACACCGCCCGUCACACCAUGGGAGUGGGUUGCAAAAGAAGUAGGUAGCUUAACCUUCGGGAGGGCGCUUACCACUUUGUGAUUCAUGACUGGGGUGAAGUCGUAACAAGGUAACCG